AUAUUGAACCUAAAUCUCCGUCUGGAUCUCCGUCUGUGAUGAGAUCUCCACUCCCUUAUCACUUUCUUAAAGAUGUCGACACUAGUACCACGUAAAGAUCUCCAUCUGGAUCUCCACUUAAAGAUCUCCGUCUGGAUCGAGGCUUGGGGACGACCGUGGAUUACGGAAGUCUAUGCAAACCAAAAUCAAAGUGACAGAAUAGAAUUCCGACCACAACUAGUACUAUUUCUCCGGCAGAGCUGCACUUGACUCUUUAACAGUGAGGAGGAUAUACUACAGCUUAGAGAUCGGAAUUGACUCUUUGCAGGAUUUUGUGGAACACUUGGAGUGUAAGAAACAAACUGAUUUUUAAGACAUCAUGCCAGUUUGGAAUACAAUGUUUGAACAUAUUCUUCAUCGUUUGUCUCUCUGGUUGUUAAAGGCCAUGGAUGGAAAUUUGAUAUCUUGAAAUAAUCUUAAACGCA